rnacentral:rRNA from 1 species
GAUGAACGCUGGCGGCGUGCUUAACACAUGCAAGUCGAACGAUGAAGCCCAGCUUGCUGGGUGGAUUAGUGGCGAACGGGUGAGUAACACGUGAGUAACCUGCCCUUAACUCUGGGAUAAGCCUGGGAAACUGGGUCUAAUACCGGAUAGGAGCGUCCACCGCAUGGGGGGUGUUGGAAAGAUUUAUCGGUUUUGGAUGGACUCGCGGCCUAUCAGCUUGUUGGUGAGGUAAUGGCUCACCAAGGCGACGACGGGUAGCCGGCCUGAGAGGGUGACCGGCCACACUGGGACUGAGACACGGCCCAGACUCCUACGGGAGGCAGCAGUGGGGAAUAUUGCACAAUGGGCGCAAGCCUGAUGCAGCGACGCCGCGUGAGGGAUGACGGCCUUCGGGUUGUAAACCUCUUUCAGUAGGGAAGAAGCGAAAGUGACGGUACCUGCAGAAGAAGCACCGGCUAACUACGUG